UUUUAGGUAUGUUCUGCUCAAUGCACAAAUUAAAUAGCUGCAGUAAAUUAACUGUACUAAGGUAGCAUAAUAAAUUGCUUUAUAAUUAAAAGCUUGAAUGAAAGAAACAAUGUGAAACAAACUUUUUUUAUUAAAAUAGUAAAAAUUAAUAUUUAAGUGAAAAAUCUUAAAUUAUAUCAAAAGACAAGAAGACCCUUUAGAACUUUACAAGCCAAGCUAGCUUUACUAUAAUAUCUUGUUAAAUUGGGGAGAUUUUUAAAUAAAUAAAUCUUUAAAUAUACUAAAAUGACUUAAUUCAAAUUAAAUUAUCCAGACAUGAAAUAAAACAAGUUACCUAAGGGAUAACAGCGCAAAAUUUUUGAAAAGAUCCAAUUUACAAAAUAAGUUGCGACCUCGAUGUUGGAUUAAGAA
rnacentral:rRNA from 1 species